rnacentral:rRNA from 1 species
GUAAUCGAUAAAAAGGUAGCCCUAAAUUUUCACCUCGGAACCGUUUACUUAUAGCUUGCUCCCGGGUGACCAGCGGCGGACGGGUGAGUAUUGUCUGGGAAACUGCCUGAUGGAGGGGGAUAACUACUGGAAACGGUAGCUAAUACCGCAUAACGUCCCAAGACCAAAGUGGGGGACCUUCGGGCCUCAUGCCAUCAGAUGUGCCCGGAUGGGAUUAGCUAGUAGGUGGGGUAACGGCUCACCUAGGCGACGAUCCCUAGCUGGUCUGAGAGGAUGACCAGCCACACUGGAACUGAGACACGGUCCAGACUCCUACGGGAGGCAGCAGUGGGGAAUAUUGCACAAUGGGCGCAAGCCUGAUGCACCCAUGCCGCGUGUGUGAAGAAGGCCUUCGGGUUGUAAAGCACUUUCAGCGUAGAGGAAGGCGGUGAGGUUAAUAACCUCAUCGAUUGACUUUACCCGCAGAAAAACACCGGCUAACUCCGUGCCAGCAGCCGCGGUAAACCGGAGGGUGCAAGCUUUAAUCGGAAUUACUGGGCUUAAAGGCACGCAGGCGGUCUGUCAGUCGGAUGUGAAAUCCCCGGGCUCACCCUGGGACUGGUUUCAAAAUGGGGUUAAGU